UACUGACGAGUAAUCGUCAGUUACCAUUUCGGCGCAGAUUGGAUCUUGGGUGGAACCAAGUGUUUACCGCGGACGUCCCUGUUCCUUGUCAAACGGCGCGCAGAACGUAAAUAUAUGCUAGAUUCAUCAGUCGGGCAGGGUCGCAGGCGGCAUGCACAGUAGCUUGAUGCAUUGUCUACCCUGAACAAGAUUCCUCGAUCCCGAGUUUCCUCACAAGUGCUGAGCUGAGAAAACGAGAGGACACAGCUGUCUAUGCAGCUGUCUAUGCAACAUAACGGACUUUUAAACUCAGCUUUACAACCACCGGACCUCGGUUGUAGUAGCAUGGGACAUUGAUCAGCAUCGUCGUCGUACGCUAGCCCAUGAGGAAAUUACGUAGCGCGCUGUUGGAUGGACUGGGUUGUGGAUGAAAGCACCAUUGUAAGUCUCGAUGCAGAUAGCAGGAAUCUAGGAGGAAUCCUGAAGAUACAGUUCGAGAAGACUCUGAACAAACGCAUUACGGCAACGGCCCGAGCACGACUCGUAUUGUUGAUGGUUCACUGCCCUUCCAAGCUUCUUAUAUUAUCACUUCCACGGUCUAGUGUAGUUUGGCUGUAUGAAAAUCAUUUCAAGUGCUCUGAAGCUAUUUUGAAUGAAAAUGGG